rnacentral:rRNA from 1 species
AUUGAACGCUGGCGGCAGGCUUAACACAUGCAAGUCGAGCGGCAGAAGGGAGCUUGCUCCUGGAUUCAGCGGCGGACGGGUGAGUAAUGCCUAGGAACCUGCCUGGUAGUGGGGGAUAACGCCCCGAAACGGGUGCUAAUACCGCAUACGUCCUGAGGGGGAAAGCGGGGGAUCGUCGGACCUCACGCUAUCAGAUGAGCCUAGGUCGGAUUAGCUAGUUGGUGGGGUAAAGGCCUACCAAGGCGACGAUCCGUAGCUGGUCUGAGAGGAUGAUCAGUCACACUGGAACUGAGACACGGUCCAGACUCCUACGGGAGGCAGCAGUGGGGAAUAUUGGACAAUGGGCGCAAGCCUGAUCCAGCCAUGCCGCGUGUGUGAAGAAGGUCUUCGGAUUGUAAAGCACUUUAAGUUGGGACGAAGGGCAGUAAGUUAAUACCUUGCUGUUUUGACGUUACCAACAGAAUAAGCACCGGCUAACUUCGUG